GACGAACGCUGGCGGCGUGCUUAACACAUGCAAGUCGAACGAAAAGGCCCCCUUUUGGGGUGCUCGAGUGGCGAACGGGUGGGUAACACGCGAUUAACCUACCCUUGACUUUGGGAUGACUUCCUAAUACCGGGUCUAAUACCCGGACGGAGCUCCUGCUGCCUGUGGGGGGUCGGGCAUUUGCGGCGGUUGGGGAUGGACUCGCGGCCUAUCAGCUUGUUGGUCGGGUAGUGGCUCACCAAGGCUUUGACGGGUAGCCGGCCUGAGAGGGUGCCCGGCCACAUUGGGACUGAGAUACGGCCCAGACUCCUACGGGAGGGAGCAGUGGGGAAUAUUGCACUAUGGGCGGAAGCCUGAUGCAGCCACGCCGCGUGCGGGAUGACGGCAUUCGGGUUGUAUACCGCUUUCGCCUGUGACGAAGCGUGAGUGACGGUAAUGGGUAAAGAAGCACCGGCUAACUACGUG
rnacentral:rRNA from 1 species